GUUGUAUUAAGAAAUAACACUAAUGGAUGUAAUGUAAGAAAAAAUCAAAACAGGCUUAUACCGUUUCUGUGGAAGACGCCACGUUUUAUGUCAGUUCUAAGCUAUUGUUUUUCUUCUCCAUUUAAGGUCAGUGGCAUAGAUAGAGUGGGAUCUGGAGUGAAGAAGACUCAAACUUGCCUCAGAUACUUAUUAGCUGUGGGACUCUGGACAAAUGAUUUCACGUCUGCCUCUAUUUCCUCAUCUGUAAAAAUGGAGAUGCUAUAGCACUCACCUCACAGGUAUGAGAGAAGGGGGAUGCUGAGAGCUCUUCACGCUGACAGGAGAGGUAAGCGCUCUGAUGAUAUUCAAGCCACACAGACUUUUAUUAUUUCUGUGAUACAGAGACAGCAAGACAGGGCGUGCAGACAGGCGAUUGGUGCUGCCAGCUGCCAAAUAUGCAUUUUGAAGAUAAGCUAAUUUCAAGGAAUGAGGCAAGUUUUAAUGAUCAGAGCAAGGUGAGGAGUCCAAACCAGCUUGGCCAGUCGGAGAGAGAAUAUGUGAAAGAACGAGAGUCAGGACUGGCUGAAUACAAAGACCAGAAGGCAAAGCCAGGUAAGGCAGCCAAAGUUCGGCUAAGGAGAAGGCCAGUAUCGUAGAAGAAUGGAAGAAGGGCAAACAGAAGAGCAAAGAGAUUCAGAGGAUCACAGAGAGCUGGCAUACUAGCUAAUAGAUGUAAAGCCCUGGCUAGGCUUCAAGGACUAUUUUCUGUGAGCUGAUACUUGUUGCUUCCACCAGGGAACUCUGUGCUUCCAGGGAAGUAGAUGGAACAAACAUGGCAGCUUCAAUGGGAGGAAUAAACAGUGCUCUUCCCAACCUUUCCAAUUCAACAAGUUUUUAUUAAGCACAUGCUAUAGCUGUCGUUCUCCAAGGGCCAUGAUGUCAGGGAGGUGAUGCCAUAACGUCCGACUGAAUUGGAUUUAAGUGAGGGAGGGCUGCACGGAGUCACCAGUUCAAUCGUGUGCCCCAGAUAAGUAAAUAGAAAAUUCAAAGAAAAUAAAUACAAAGUAAUUUUGAGUGGUGGGGACCGCCAUCUAUGAGACCAAGACCUUAUUUAAGCUAUGGACAGUGAGCCAGGAAUCAUGAAGACUGGGCAAACACGUCCCAAUCGGGGAUCCUGUGCUCUGCUCUUCUGACAUUAAGUUCGAGGUGCUUUCCCUUCCUCCCUCUGCCUGGAUAUCGAUAACUGUGCACCGGCUGGAAUAGGUAAUUGUGGGGGGGGGGAGGGGGGGCUGAAAAGUAGGAAGCCUGAGUUCUCGCCCUAGCUCCAGCACUUCCCAACUACACAAGGCAGGGCAAACUGAUUAAUCUUUCCAGACCUCAGUCUCCUAAUCUGUAAAAUGACAAUGAAUAAUAAUACUCAUUCUUUAUUUGUGUCUGACUUUAAGAAUGACAUGGUUCUUUCCUAAAAUAAUUGGAGGGAUCGCAGAGUGCUCAUUAAAUGGAAGCUUUCCCUCCACGACUCCAGACCAACAGGUCCAGCAGGCUCUCCCCCUGCCAGACCUCAUAAGGUCACAUUCUUAGGAAUAAAAAGGAAGAACUGAAGCCCAGAAAACCGGGGGAAUGGCCCAACUCACAGAGGGACAGAAAUCCCCGCCAGGUCCCUUGCCUCUCGACUCAGCACACUUGCCAGUCCCCCCCCCCCAACCCCGAUUCCCAGCAUUGCUGAUCCUCCCCUUUAUAGACUGCAUUAAAGUUUCCUAAGUUGUAAAAAAAAAAAAAAA